GGGCAUCGAGUGCAACUCCAACCCAUGUGACAUACUCGUGUUGCCUCGGCGGCGAGCUACCCGGAAGCCUCCUACCCUGGAGUUGCCUACCCGGGAGUUACCCGGCAGCUCCUACCCUGGAGCUACCCUGUAGCGCUGGCGGACCGCCGGAGGACCACCUAACUCUGUUUUUCUGUGUGGCACCUCUGAGUACAUACAUCUAAAUAAGUUAAAACUUUCAACAACGGAUCUCUUGGUUCUGGCAUCGAUGAAGAACGCAGCGAAAUGCGAUAAGUAAUGUGAAUUGCAGAAUUCAGUGAAUCAUCGAAUCUUUGAACGCACAUUGCGCCCAUUAGUAUUCUAGUGGGCAUGCCUGUUCGAGCGUCAUUACGACCCUUAAGCCUCGUCGCUUAGCGUUGGGAGCAUUACCGUCAGGUAACUCCUCAAAGUCAGUGGCAGAGUUGCGGUACACUCUAGGCGUAGUAGAUUUAUUUCUCGCCUCUGUGGUGGCCGUGGCUGUCGCCAUGAAACCUCUAUUUUUCUAGUGGUUGACCUCGGAUCAGGUAGGAAUACCCGCUGAACUUAAGCAUAUCAAUAAGCGGAGGAA
rnacentral:rRNA from 1 species